rnacentral:lncRNA from 12 species
AUGAUAGUCACAGAGAGAGAGAGAGAGAGAGGCAGAGACACAGGCAGAGGGAGAAGCAGGCUCCAUGCACUGGAAGCCCGACGUGGGAUUCGAUCCCGGGUCUCCAGGAUCGCGCCCUGGGCCAAAGGCAGGCGCCAAACCGCUGCGCCACCCAGGGAUCCCCACAAAGCUGAUUCUAUCAGCACAACCAUGAGGGAAUCAUAAGCAGCAGUGGGAUUAGACAGACGGGAGCUGGUUCUGAAAGCUGAUAUCUAAGCCGUUGUUCUGAGACAGCAGAGCCCAGCGACUCAUCUCUAUCCAUCACAGAGCAUUGCUCACCCAGCUAAAGGUGUUUGGGUCUCCUCCUUGCCAAGGACUAGAACACAAGCAGGGAAAGGCAAGGAGGUAGAGAGCUGCAAUCUCCCAGAUCUGGAUAUAUCUACACAGACCAAGAUGGGGCAGCUGAGGGCACAUCAUCUCUCCUUUGUUUGGGGAUGGGGCUCUGGGCUGGAGUUCAAGGCUGCCCCAGGAGACCCAAGCCCCAGUUAGUGACCGGUGUGUUUGCUCUUGUUUGCUCAGCAGCAGUCGCAAAUGGAUGCUAAAAGGCUUUGUGGUUCAUUGAUGGUCAUACCCCUUUCCAGCCCAUUCUUCAUCCAUUUCUUAGGCAAGCCACAAGCCCUCCAUUGGCAGCCCCCACUGCUGCUCUCACUUGGCUCUGGGUCCUAAACCCUGCCUGUUCAUAUCCCUCCCCAUCAGCAGUCCUGAGAACUGGAGCCCUUGCCCCGGGGCCUGGAUAUGUUUGGAGAACAUCAGCAAGGCCAGGGGGCUCUGCUAGCUUUCCCCUUCACUCCAGAAGACAGCUUCUGGCUGAGCUCAUGGUGACUAGGCAGGGCACAUCCACAUAGACACACAGAAGAUCCCGUAGAGUAAGUAGUUCAUUCAGGACACCCAAGAGGCACAUAAUCACACAAGGAAAGGAAGAGAGAGGGGCUAUUGGGAGCUCCAUUAUCAUUUCGCUUUGGAGCAUAUGGACCCCAAAUCAGGGAGUGUCGUCUAGUUGUUGAUCCCACUGCAAGUCCUAUGUGGAAUGACUGUGUGCCUGAUGAUGGGAGCUCCUUUUUACACACAGAAAGCAAAUUCCCAACAAUUUGGAGCAGAGGUAAAGGAAGCUGAAAGGAUGCCUCUGGCCUGAGGAUGCCCUGAGAUGUUAAUCUGUGCAUCUGCUGCAGCACGGAAUAAACUCAAAGACUUUGUGCUAAGUGGAAAGAAG